GUCUAUGGCCAUACAACCCUGAAUGUGCCCAAUUUCAUCUGAUCUCAGAAGCUAAGCAGGGUCAGGCCUGGUUAGUACUUGGAUGGGAGACAGAUCUUUAGAAGAGACUGCUCAGAGACA
rnacentral:rRNA from 1 species